rnacentral:rRNA from 1 species
AGGACGAACGCUGGCGGCGUGCUUAACACAUGCAAGUCGAGCGGAAAGGCCCUUCGGGGUACUCGAGCGGCGAACGGGUGAGUAACACGUGAGCAACCUGCCCCUGGCUCUGGGAUAGCCUCCGGAAACGGGGAUUAAUACCGGACAUUCACUCUUCUGGGCAUCCUAGAGGGUGGAAAGUUUUUUCGGCCGAGGAGGGGCUCGCGGCCUAUCAGCUUGUUGGCGGGGUAACGGCCCACCAAGGCGACGACGGGUAGCCGGCCUGAGAGGGCGACCGGCCACACUGGGACUGAGACACGGCCCAGACUCCUACGGGAGGCAGCAGUGGGGAAUAUUGCGCAAUGGGCGGAAGCCUGACGCAGCGACGCCGCGUGGGGGAUGAAGGCCUUCGGGUUGUAAACCCCUUUCACCAGGAGCGAAUCAAGACGGUACCUGGGGAAGAAGCGCCGGCUAACUACGUGCCAGCAGCCGC